GCCAGUGUCUUACUUGGCUCAUCCUAGCCCCAGUCCCAGGAUGCAGGUGGAGGUGGCAGUAUCAAGGAGCCCCAGAUCCCAGGCGCAACUCUUGGCUGAUCAUAUAGUGAAGGGGUGUCUGCGUGAACGUCAGUAAGAGCCACGGUAACAGCCAGCAGCAUGAAAACAACUUGCUGAGAAAGCUAUUUUAACACCUCUGAUUAACACAGAAAAGGAGGAGGCUUGAGUGCUGGUAAGGUGGUCCCGAAGAGCUUAAGAGAAUAAAGUUGAUUUCCUGUAGGACAUGGAAAGACUUAAAGACAUUGUUA